rnacentral:tRNA from 2 species
GCCCGUAUAGCUCAGUGGUAGAGCGCGGCACUCGUAAUGCCGAGGUCCAUGGUUCGAUCCCAUGUGCGGGCA